rnacentral:rRNA from 1 species
ACUCCUACGGGAGGCAGCAGUGGGGAAUAUUGCACAAUGGGCGCAAGCCUGAUGCAGCCAUGCCGCGUGUAUGAAGAAGGCCUUCGGGUUGUAAAGUACUUUCAGCAGUGAGGAAGGUGGGUAUGUUAAUAGCAUACUCAUUUGACGUUAGCUGCAGAAGAAGCACCGGCUAACUCCGUGCCAGCAGCCGCGGUAAUACGGAGGGUGCGAGCGUUAAUCGGAAUUACUGGGCGUAAAGCGCAUGCAGGUGGUUUGUUAAGUCAGAUGUGAAAGCCCGGGGCUCAACCUCGGAAUUGCAUUUGAAACUGGCAAACUAGAGUACUGUAGAGGGGGGUAGAAUUUCAGGUGUAGCGGUGAAAUGCGUAGAGAUCUGAAGGAAUACCGGUGGCGAAGGCGGCCCCCUGGACAGAUACUGACACUCAGAUGCGAAAGCGUGGGGGAGCAAACAGGAUUAGAUACCCGGUAGGCUCU